GCCCCCGUAGCCCAACCGGCAGAGGCAGACCCCUUAAAAGGGUUGUGUUGUGGGUUCGACUCCCAUCGGGGGCA
rnacentral:tRNA from 1 species